UACGUAGGGGGCAAGCGUUGUCCGGAUUUAUUGGGCGUAAAGAGCGUGUAGGCGGCCUUACAGGUCAGCUGUGAAAACUCGAGGCUCAACCUCGAGACGUCGGUUGAAACCGUAAGGCUAGAGUCCGGAAGAGGAGAGUGGAAUUCCCGGUGUAGCGGUGAAAUGCGCAGAUAUCGGGAAGAACACCCGUGGCGAAGGCGGCUCUCUGGGACGGUACUGACGCGUGAGACGCGAAAGCGUGGGGAGCGAACGAGG
rnacentral:rRNA from 1 species